CGUUGGCUGCUGUGUUUGACAUCGCACACAGCUCCUCCUACUUUCAGUUCCGUUGUCUGACAAAUUCGCUUUCAAAACACUAAAGGAAACAAAAUAAUAUAUAUUUAUCUAGCCAAAUUAUUAAUUAGAAACAUAAAAGGGAUCGGAGUUUUCAUAUUUCUUUUUUAUUCGAUUUAUUUGUAUUUAUCUGGACGUCGUAUUUUUUGGCCGACAGGAAGUGAAAUCAUCACACGUUUCGUGCUGACUUUCAGUUGGGAAGGUGCACAGAGAGACGGAGCAAGCAUGUUCGCACUAGUAAAGUGGGUAAAUGGCGAUGAUGACGGUAAAUUGAGUGUAAUUCCUACUGAGUGGAUUAAAGGAUUUAAUAUAGAGGAUUUUGAAGAAGAAGGCGACGAAGAUGAGCGCCAUUAUGUCGCAGAGUGGAGAAGAGGGAGUAAACGACCACGUGAAGGAUGGCAAGCUUUCGAUUGUGAAGUGGAGAAAGUGGGAGAAAGACAGUUGGAACUUGUUCAAAUGCAUGAUGCAAUGACAAGAGCAGAAGAGACUCCAGCUUUGAAAAGAAAGAAAUUUCAAAAUAGCAGAUAUGCUGAUGACUCCAGCAGUGACACCAAAGACACUCAAGUGUGCCAGGUUACAGUCUUCUACGCCUGAGGGAAUCUGCCAUUAAUACUGGGUUUUAAUUUGCAAUUAGGCCCUAGGUAGGAAGCAGUAUCUGUCACAGAAGGCUACAAGUGGACGCUGUUGAUGCUAUCCCUGUGAUAUUGGACAAAAUUGAGGAGCUAGGAAAGAGGGACAACUCUGGUCCUACUGACCACUCUAUUGACAGUGAGGCAAAUUGUCUUUGUGGAAGUCCACGGUAUGCUGCGUCGUCUGCAGGAUCAACUGUGUCCAUAUCCUCAAUUCCUCAAUCACAAGGAAAUGGAAGACAACUUGACAAGGUGGAAAUUCAUCCAGGAAGUGGAGUGUAUAUAGACCAGCUGGCUUGGACAAUAACAAAUAAGGCUACUUCCUACACUUCAUUUGUGAGAAAUGCUAUGCUCUCUGUGUUUGACAUUGAAACUUUAGUAAAAAGUAAUUUACGUGGUGGAAGUGGCAAACGACAGAAACAUGGGGAAAGAAGAGAGGCCUUGGAUCCCAACAAAGUGAAUGCC